AGCGUCUCUGCCUCACUGUCUUCGUCUUCUUUACCUGUUCAUCUGUGUCUUCAUCUUCAACGCUCUUCGACAUCAUUCAACUGCGUCACUAGGCCUGGACCCUUAACCUACAACCUGCAAAGCCGACCCAAUCCGAAUAAGAAUCGGGAAACCCUAUUUUGUGAUAACUCUGUGUGCUCAAACGUGAAGACCCUUCAUUCUCUUAGAGGUUCAAAAGCUUGCCUCCCUUGUCUCUCUGGAAAAAUUGGUGGUCAUCAAUUUGAAGGACAUCCCUUGUUACUGUCUUUCAAGGCAAUCUCUUAACUUUCUCAUAGUUUGAAAAUAAUUUAUUGGAUUUUGCCUCCAGUAUCGUUCCUAUUCAGACUACUCUUCUUGAGAAAAUGGUGGUUAUUUCUUUAGUUUUACUUGGUUCUCCAACUCUUUCUCUAUCGACUUCGAUUUGUGCAGUCCACCAAUUUAUCUAUAGAGUUGUUUUUGGACAGCCUCCUUUGUAUUUGUCUUUGCAGGUUACUUUUUAAUUCCUAUAUAUAUAUUUUUUCAAUGUUUGGUCUAAUUUUUUUAUUUUAUUUUAUGUAAUUUUUAAUCUUAAUUUAUGAAAAAAUUUCAAAUUAUAAACCUGUUCUUAGUAAAAAGAUUUUAUUUUUCGAUUUUAAUUGAUUGUGUUGUAUAAAUGACAAAUAUUAUUUCAUUGAAAAUUCCUUCUUAAAAUGAUAGAAAGUAGUAUUGCUUAAAAACCUUUCAUGGAGGGUAAUUGAUAAUUUUAUUCUUGUCGACCAAACCACCUUUUGCAUGUUUAAAUUGUAUGGAACUCUAAUGUCAAUCAAGGUAUUUGGUAGAUUUGGAUCGAUUGAGCUCCUGAAGGAUUAAUAUUCAUUUAAGCUUUAAAGAAUGUUGCACAAAGCAUAAAUCAGUUUGUAUUAGCUUUAUAUUGAUUUUUGUCCAGUUGUAAGGAAAAAAAUCAAUAGGCGGAAAAUAAUAAUUGGCAAGAAUAUGGGGACUGUUGAAAAACUCAUCUUUUUGCUGGAAUUAUUAGCAGUCUUAAAUGGGUUCUACGUCCAUUCAAAAAGAAAAGAAAAAAUUGAAAUGGGUUUUUAAAGAAAGGCUGGAAAUAUCUGAUUAAAGGGUUCUUGAUUUUGUGUUUCUGUUAUUUUGAAAUAUAAUUAGCUCUAAUAGGAUUAAGAGCUGAUAUAGAUAACUGAAAUGAUGUUUCUACAGGAAGCCGGACUAAAUUUGCGAAAAUUGAAACGAAGGGAUGCAUCGUGGAUCUGGCAAACAAUUUCUUUGACAUCACUUGCAUGCGAAUUGAGGUGCAUUUCCAUCACUAGUUUGACUCAAUAUUUGAUUUUGGAUAAAAAAUAGAUUCCAUUUCAUUUAUGAUGCAAGAUAUGAUUAGAGCUGUAGGUUCUUUCUUUUCUUGAAAUUGUUACCUCACUUUAUUUCAUUUAAUUUCCUAUCUAACAUUUGAGAGAAAAAAAUAUGUAUAACCGAUUCAUGUUUUAGAUUUGAAGGAACCUUUCAAUUUUCAGAAAGGGUGAUGUUGUAGGCCAGAAUUGGUCUAGGCAGAGCUCUAGGUGAACCUAUCAACUGGACAAAGAAUUAUAGCUCGCCUUUAACAGCCUUAUUCAUUAGACCGCAUUCUCGUGGAAGCAAAAUAUCAGGUAUGAUAUUUAGGGCGACUUAAUCUAAUCCACUUUCCUUACAAUAUGAAUCUUAUGCUCCCACACAUUUGUUUGUAUUAGAAAUUAUCGAGUUUACUUUACAAUUUGAAUUGUUGCUAUUCAAUGUUUGAUAGUAUCAUAAUAGACAAAGAAUGGCUGCAAUUAUCAAGGUUAUUAUCUAUAAUAAAAUCUUAUAAAUCUAGUUACAAAAUCUAAACAAUAAUAUCAAUUGAUCAUAAAAUUGUUGUCGUAGAUUUUCAGAACAAUACAGAGAUAGAGCACGAAAUUUUGUUGAACUAGCUUGUGAAAAUCUAAAUUCAGGAAUGAUAAGAUGCCCUUGUAUUAUGUAUAAGAAUCUAAAGCAUCAUUAUUAUGAAACAUUGUAUGAGCAUUUGGUUAUUAAGGGUAUAGAUUCUACAUAUACUGUUUGGGUAUUUAAUGGAGAGCGACCAAAUAAAUCAAAUUUGGUUGAUGUAGAAAUGCCCGAGUCAUGUAGGAUAUUUAGGGACUUCUAUGCAUAACAUGAUGUACAUCCUGAAAAUCCUCAUGAUGGAACAGGGGAAGACAUUCAACGUUUAGUUAGUGAUGCGAAAAUCCUUUUGUAUCCUAGUUGUAUGGCAUUUACGAAGAUGUCAGCUUCAGUUGCUAUGUUUAAAUAUAAAGCUACACAUGAUCUAUCAAAUAGUGGUUUCGAUGAACUCAUAAAUCUUGUGCUGGGCAUGCUGUCACAGAAUAAUACACUUUCUAACUCAUUUUAUGAUAUGAAAAACUUGUCAAAGCAUUUGAUCUUACCUAUGAUAAGAUACAUGUUUACUUGAAUGGUUGUUGUCUAUAUAGGAAGGAGCUUGAACAUGCAGAAUUAUGUCUAAAAUGUGGUUGUUAUAAAUAAAAAGUUAACCAAUGGACUAAGAAAUUUCAAAAAAAUAAAAAUAAAAUUCUAGCAAAAGUCUUGUAUUAUUUCCCUAUCAUACCAAGAUCUAAGAGGAUGUUCGGAAUAGAUGGAAUGCCAACACAACUUAAAUGACACUCAAAUAAUAAAAGUUUCUUUUUUGAUAUAAUGUUUAUUUAACAAUCCAUAUGGAAGAGAAGCUUGUCUAUGUGGAUCAGUUCAAUAUUGUUGGAUGUACCCAUUUGAGAGGUGGUAUUCCUUAACUUAUCAUAGUAGUUAAAUUCACUAUCAAAUUUAUUUUUAUUUUAUUAGAUUUUUGGAAAAUGUGUAGAUAUAUGAAAGUGUUGAAAGAAUACGUCAUGAAUCGUUCAUGACCUGAAGGAUGCAUAGCUGAAUGAUAUAUUGUUGAAAAAAAUGCAUUGUUUUGUAGCAAAUACAUUAAACAAGCAUUUGAAAUAGGCUCUAAGUUUGCGUGCAAUGAAGAAUAUGAAAGUGACUUCUUAGUUGCAGGGUGUACAAGUUCUAAAAGGAAGCCACUUGUACUAUUUGAUGAGAUGCUGAAAGUUGCCCCUUGCUAUGUGCUGCUAAAUAGUAUAGAAGUGGCUCUAUACGUAUAGUAUGUUCAUGACAUAUCUACUUUGUUAGGUUUUAAGUUCUUCGACCAUAUUAAUUUCUUGAUAUAUUGUUUUCCACUUAGGACGCAUAUGGAUGAACUCAAGAGUUUUGACAAAUGACUUCAAAGAAAUGAGAAUUUGUUGCAUAAGAAACAUAUUGACACUUUUGCUGCCUGGUUGGACGAUAAGGUUGAAGUACAUAUAUCAACAAGAUUAGUGUUUAACAUAGAUGUUUAUUCUUUUAUUCCUAACAUGUUUAUAAUAAUAACAGAUUACAGGUCAAUUGUUUCUCGACAAUGUUGCAAAUACUUUAAAGUGGCUUGCACGUGGCCCUAGAUGCCAGUCUGUCAUAUUCUAGUUUUGUAAUAAAUGGUCUUCAAUUUUACACGAAAGAUGCAGAAAAGUCUUGCCAAAAUAGUGGUAUCUUAGUUGAAGCAACAACCAUUUGUAGAUCUAGUGCAAAAGAUAAUGCACAUGUUGUUGGGAAAGUUCUUUAACAUGGAGUUCUCUUGCCUUCUUCCAUUGUUUUUCCUGUGCCUUUGUGGCUUGCAAAUCAUCACCACUAUUUUGUACUUUAUGGGUGAGAUUAAGAAGCAAUCAAGUUGAAUAUA
rnacentral:lncRNA from 1 species